AAAGUAAGACAGGAAACAAACGCGGGUGCAAGCCAGACGCCCUUGGAGCGCGGGGUCAGGAGGCAAAGGAGAGAGUCCACGUGGAGACGGUCAGAGGACCGGAGAUAGAGCUCGCGGUGGUCUCAGCCGAGAACCACCCUCCAAACCGUGGUUUGCCUUACCUGACCGCUGCCGGAUAGCCGACCAGAAGGUCUCGGGAGCAAGAGAGCUCAGGACCGAGAGCUGAGCACGAGGGUCUCAGGAGAAGAACGCUUCUGGUGCCGCUAACUCGACAGGGCCGGCAUUUUAUUAAUUUAUCAGCAGGUAAUGGAUCCCGAAGAGCUCGAAGGGCUCGGCGGGGGAGUCGGUGCCGAGGUGGAAAUAGAAGAAGCAGAGGCAGCCGUUGUGGAAACGGAAGGGACUUUAUGGGCACUGUUAGAAAAGGCGGCCCAAAUGCUGCUGGAUGUGGCUGGAAUGUCUCUGCUGGGGCUUGUUACAUGGGAAGACGUUCAUCAGGACCUUUUGGAAGAGAUAUUGUGCACACUUGGACCUGAGCAUCCCCUAGUAGAGGAAAUUUUGAACCUCCGUUAGGGGGCUCAGAACCCGGGGCCUUGCGAGGGUGGAAUAAAAAGAAAGGGAGGUUGCGGCUCGAGCUAUUUUAACCUCUGAGCCACAACCUUCCUCAGGGUGCGAGCUGAGAUUUUCAGGUAUCUCUAGAAAGGGUGUGCAACAGGGCGUAAAAAGCGGAAGCUGCGUGGGGAAGAUUCGAACCCAAAAGGCGCAGAGACUGUGGUGCUAAGGGCCACAUCUUAUCCCCAGCACCAGAGCCUCCCGCUAGCACAGCUGCAAGAAAUCGCCCCCGUCAGCGUUAGUUCUUUCCACUAGACCAACGCUGGCAGGGGGAUGGUGAAGCAGAAGUGAGAGAGGUCUUAUCUGUGUCACAGGCAACGGAAGGGCGCGAACCCCAAUCGGCUAUAAAAAAAUGACUGAGCGACACGCAGAAGCGACAAUCUCUCUGCGCUACACUCAGUCAUGCACUCAGAGAGGCUCAGGGUAGAGCUGUGUUCGAACUCGGUGCUGGCAGCAAGAAGAGGCUUGUGAUGGUACACUGACUAUUCCACUAAGCCAGUGCACCACCACAGCCUGGGGGUGCGUGAAACGCGGGGGUAUCAAGGGCAGGGUCGGAGGUUGAUGUAAUCGGGUUUGACGGGGGAGAGGUGAGAGUAGAUCUCUGGUGCAGAUGGUAGCAAGGCCUGAUAAUCAGAAUCGGGUUUAGGGGUUAAGGAGAUUUCAGGGAAGUGGGGAGCCUGCCGGAGGAGCUUUAAAAGGCGAGAGGUCAAGCAUUUUAUCAGGCAGGGGGCCAGGAAGAGCAAAAAAAGGGCUAAUAGGAACAGGCUUAGAACAGAAUGAAUGGUUUCUCGCACCCAGGCAGUGAGCCCCAGAUCCCAAUUCCAGGGCCACUGCCAGUCUGUAGAGACUCUUUGCGAGAGAGGCUGGAGAUCACCGAGGCGGAUAAUGGAGUCAUUUUGAAUGCGCAGGAAACAGCAAGGCUCAUUAAUUGUGGGACAUAGGCUUUGAAAACCCAGCCGGAUGUACAACCAAUCAAGCCCCCGUCGGUUCUGGGCAACCACAGAGGCCACAUUAAGCAAAUUAUAGUGGGUCUGGUUAAUUGCUGUGAUCAAGCGUUGCUGAUCUUGCUCCAGAACGUGGAUCAGGGAGGUGAGUCUCUGAUGGCUAAGGGCAGACACGGCCACAUUAAUUCCAGUGAGCCCCACUGACAGGGCUAGGCCUAAGGUCAGGGCUGCGACGGGACUACGUCUGACCCGGGUAGGAGGGGCGGAGGAAGCCGUAGAGAGAUUAACCAGGGAGAUAGGAGGUAAUAACAAGGCGUUGCCUUGAGAAACAUUGAACAACAACCUCUGGGAAGGGUGGUGCCAUCCUUGGGUGGUUUUAAACGAGGACGUGUUGACCCAGAAGAUUUGGGCGUCCGGGAGGGCGAGGCCGGGUCCAGAGCCGGAGAUGGUUUUGUUAUAUACUAAUAUUUCGGGAGCCCAGGGAGGGGAAGGUUCCCAACAUAUAGCACAGUCUGGGAAGGCCCGUGCUGUUUGAUUUAAAAGCAGGGCCCAUGAUCUGACAGAGGGAACCCAGUCACUGUUCAACUGGGGAAAGUCGGGUUGAGGGGGAUCAGGGAUCUUAUGUAAGGAAAAGGUGAUCAGGGGAUCAUAUCCCCAUAUCUCCCAGGUUAGAGUGAAAAUUCCAUGACAUUGUUUGAGAUGCAGG
rnacentral:antisense_RNA from 1 species